rnacentral:piRNA from 1 species
UUAAAAAAAGUUAAAGUAGUU